rnacentral:rRNA from 1 species
UACGUAGGGUGCAAGCGUUAAUCGGAAUUACUGGGCGUAAAGGGCGCGUAGGCGGUUUAUCAAGUGAGAUGUGAAAUCCCCGGGCUUAACCUGGGAACUGCAUUUGUGACUGCAUAGCUGGAGUACGGCAGAGGGGGAUGGAAUUCCGCGUGUAGCAGUGAAAUGCGUAGAUAUGCGGAGGAACACCGAUGGCGAAGGCAGUCCCCUGGGCCUGUACUGACGCUCAUGCACGAAAGCGUGGGGAGCAAACAGG